rnacentral:lncRNA from 1 species
ACUGGGAAGGGAAGAAGGGAGAGAGAGAACCUGAAUAAUAUAUUUUUUGAAAACUUAUGUAGAAAUCUGUUAUUAAAAUAAAAUAAAGAUAAAACAUUAAAUAAUACUAAAAAGUAUAUCAUUUAUACUAAGAGAAAGAAUGAGAGAAAUAUAUGUACCCCCAAGUAAAAGUAAUUCAUUGGUAGAGAUAAAUAUUUAUCUUGCACAAAUUGGUGAAAAAUAAUAGGAGACUAAGACUGUACUGAGAUAUGCUCCAAAUGAAUGUAGCACUUUGAAACAAAAGAUCAGGUUAAAAAUAAAUGAGAAAAAUCCAUAAAGAAAUCACCUUUCAGAUCAAGCACUGAGAGCCUUUGCCUUGAGUCACUCAGCUAUUUUGUGUCAGAGGAAGUAUUUGAAGCCAAAUUUUCCUGGCUCUGGUGUUGGCCAUCCACCAUAUGACCAAACAAAAGAUAGGCAUGAUGAAAAAAAUAAAAUGGAGAAACUUGAUCACAUAAUUUUUAAUUUGCACAAGCUAAAUCAAUGAAAUUACAGUUUCAAAAAAAAUAGUUAACCAGAGUGGCUCAGAUGGAGAAGAAAGAAACACAGAAGCAGAAGAGGGGAAUUUCUAGGUGGAACAGAGCUGUCAGGAGUCUGUGUAUCAGAGAUGAAGAUUCUGUUACCAUGGAGAUGAGGAGAGAUUUAUAAGGAAAGAAUCAGUUGACUGUUGGUCUUUUGUCUCUGGAUCUCUAGAGAGCAGGAGGUCAGUCUCUUUGUUUCUGCUGCUGAGAGUUUUGCUACUGGCAGUUGGAGGAUAAAAAUGUAUUUAAGGAGUUUGUGGGUGCUGAAUGUCUGUUUAAUUAGGAAGAUAGGUAGUUAGUGAAUCAAUUUUAGGUAGUAUAGGUUAGAUAGGCUUGGUCUGGCCAGGCAAGAAGCACCUGUCCUUGAAGACAGAGUAGGUUUUUUAGAAAUUUUGGAUAGCAUUAAGAAUAUAGGUAUAGUCAUAGUGUAUUAGAAUAAUAAUCUCUGUUCUUCCUUUCUAUUUUCUAUCUUCACUUCUUCUCAAAUUAAACUAUGUUUUAUUCAACUGCUCUCCUCACUUUUGUCAAACUCCUACAAUUUAACCCUUACAAUGAUAAUUACAUAAAUGGGAGAUAAUUAAAUCACCAAAUUAAGUAGUAUAAAAGGAUAAAAGAUGGUCUAAGACACAAUCUUGAUGAACAUCUACUGCUAAAUGAUGUGAUACAUAUGAACUUGCAACAAAGGUUACUAAAAAUGAGAUGCUAGAUUAGGUAGGAAGAGAAUCAGAAGAGAAGAGAGUGGAAAGAGAAUAUAAAGAAGAGAGAAUGAUCAACAAUGUUAAAGGUUAAAGGGAGGUUGAGUAGAAUGAGAUUUGAGAAAAACAGAAUUGUUAUUUGGCUUUUUAAAUAUUUUUUUACUCUUUAACUCUUCUUUUUUGUUUUUUUUUUGAGGAUAUAAUUCUUUUUUUUUAAUAUAUUUUAUUUGAUCAUUUCCAAGCAUUAUUCGUUAAAGACAUAGAUCAUUUUCUUUUCCUCCCCUCCACCCCCCAUAGCCGACGCGUAACUCCACUGGGCAUUAGAUGUUUUCUUGAUUUGAACCCAUUGCUUUGUUGAUAGUAUUUGCAUUAGAGUGUUCAUUUAGAGACUCUCCUCUGUCAUGUCCCCUCAACCGCUGUAUUCAGGCAGUU